AUCUUUGCGCAGUGGCAAUGUCGUAACUUAUGAUAUGAUAAGUGCGAUUAUUGCUGGUUGAAAACUCUUACCAAUACCAAUGCUAUAACGAUGUGAAAUAUUGGCUACGGCAAUUUUUGAAAGUUUCUGCGGAAA
rfam:Cerapachys biroi unplaced genomic scaffold scaffold314, whole genome shotgun sequence.